rnacentral:rRNA from 1 species
GAUGAACGCUAGCUACAGGCUUAACACAUGCAAGUCGAGGGGAAACGACAUUGAAGCUUGCUUCGAUGGUCGUCGACCGGCGCACGGGUGAGUAACGCGUAUCCAACCUGCCUCUGACUAAGGGAUAACCCGGCGAAAGUCGGACUAAUACCUUAUGAGGUUUUCAGCAGACAUCUAAUGAAAACGAAAGAUUUAUCGGUCAGCGAUGGGGAUGCGUCUGAUUAGCUUGUUGGCGGGGUAACGGCCCACCAAGGCAACGAUCAGUAGGGGUUCUGAGAGGAAGGUCCCCCACAUUGGAACUGAGACACGGUCCAAACUCCUACGGGAGGCAGCAGUGAGGAAUAUUGGUCAAUGGGCGAGAGCCUGAACCAGCCAAGUAGCGUGCAGGAUGACGGCCCUAUGGGUUGUAAACUGCUUUUAUGUGGGGAUAAAGUGAGCUACGUGAAGUUUAUUGCAGGUACC